rnacentral:rRNA from 1 species
AUUGAACGCUGGCGGCAGGCCUAACACAUGCAAGUCGAGCGAGCGGCGGACGGGUGAGCAAUGUAUGGGGACUGCCCGAUAGAGGGGGAUAACUACUGGAAACGGUGGCUAAUACCGCAUACUAUCGGAUAACCCAUAUGGGAUUAGCUAGUAGGUGGGGUAACGGCUCACCUAGGCGACGAUCUCUAGCUGGUCUGAGAGGAGUAUCGGCCACAUUGGGAGGGAGACACGGCCCAGACUCUUAGGGAGGCAGCAGUGGGGAAUAUUGCACAAUGGGCGCAGGCCUGAUGCAGCCAUGCCGCGUGUAUGAAGAAGGCCUUAGGGUUGUAAAGUACUUUCAGCGGGGAGGCGUUACCCGCAGAAGAAGCACGGGCUAACACCGUGCCAGCAGCCGCGGUAAUU